UAUAUAUCCACAAGAGUAAGCUAUCCAUUGAAGUCUCCAUUGUAAAAUAUAUAUAUUUGACCAUUCAUUUUUGGUAACGUUUCGUUGCAAUUGAAUCACGAAGAGCCCGUGAUGGGUCAAGAUACACCCAGGUUCCAAACCAAGAAGAUGGCACAUGAGAGGAUAUAUGUUGACUGAUUCAAAUCCUUCGACCGUUAUUCCUUUCUGUUUAAUAAAUGUAUGGUAAGAUUA